rnacentral:lncRNA from 1 species
GUCGACCAGGAGCACACGCCCGCAGAGGGAUGUUGUGGCCUGGCACUGUCCGUCGUGGAGCUCGCGAGGGACUCCUUGUCACGGGCGGGCGCUGCCUGUCACGGCGCUUGCGAGGUCCAGUUUGGGAUCCAUGGAGCCAGAGCGCAGCGGCAGAACUGCGUGACGGCCGUCGCGGUGGGCGAGCACGGCGGCGGCGACUGCAACUGCUGCUGCGGUGACUGACUGCUGUUGUUCCUACUUGCGCGACAACGGUGACUGCAGAUGCUGCUCAUGCAUCUGUUGUUCCUGCGUGCGCGGGGGAGCGGAGACGAUGGCGUUGCGGAGGCGAUGACUGCAUUGGGCCAACUUUUUCGUCUGCACGGACACAAACAAAUGAAAUGGGUUGGUGUGUUGCAGUUGCUCUAACUCCCUGAAAUUUUUCAUUCAUUUGCUUUUAGGAUGUAGGAUGGAGCAUAGUUUGUGCUGUUGAUUGUCAAUUGUACUCCCUCCGUUCUUAAAUAUAAGCCUUCAGUUUGUUAUGUUGAAGAUGCUUUGUACUCCUUCUGUUCCUAAAUAUAUGCCUUCUUAGAGAUUUCAAUAUAGAGUAUAUCUGGAGCAAAAUGAGUGAAUCUACACUCUAAAAUUUGUCUAUAUCCAUCCGUAUGUAGUCCGUAUUGAAAUAUCGAAAAAAAAUUAUUUUUAAAAAUAGAGGGAAUAACAAACAAAAAAGAUCACAUAACAUAAAUUGAUUGAUCAUAAAUUAUUGUUUUUUCUCCUAGGCGGGAUUGGUAGCAAAGUUGUUCUUUUGGACUAUGCAGUUCAUUGGCCAUGGAGGUUUUGAGGCAAAUCUCUAUCAAGCUAUUAAUGUUAGGUUAAGCACUAGCUUUAGUAAAUUCCUGCCCAAGGAUUAUACUUGACACUUACUCUGACCGUAGAACCGGACACGUGCUCCACUGUUUUCACGUUUGAGCAUUGAAAAUGAAAAACAAGUGUUUGGGUAUGUGGUGGAAAUCCCUCUUACGUGAUUUCUAAAAAAGGGUUAAUCAAAGAUUGCAUUCAUGAAUAAUAGAACUACCAAAAUGUGGACAUGCUAAUUUAUUUUUGAGGAACCUAGCGCACCAACAACUAUCACCUGGCCCAUGUCAAACGUUCACCCUAGCAGACUAAUCUGUCAACUACCAAAAUGUGGACAUGCUAAUUUCUGCUUGGUAUUUCAAUGAGCAUAGACGAACAAUAAAUUUAUAUAUUGCAUUAUCUUAACAUUCAAAAUAAUAUUAAUUUCAAAAAUUGUAGGGAUGUGUGUGACUAUUUAUAUUAUUUUAUGCUUUGAUGGAACGGUGAAGAAUUAGUUCAUUCACUUUGCCCAAUGAGUAUUCUCCAUUACACAUUUUAAGACCUCCGACGUGAAUUCUUCGUGCUAAUUACAUAUAUUGCUUGUGCAGGUUGGGUAUGAGUUGAGGAAGGGUUUUUUAGUUAUACUUGUUCAAAUUUCAUGCGAAUGGAGCUAAAGUCAAUAUUCUUAAUAUUGUGCAAGAAUUUCUUAAGCGCAUCAAAUGGAUCUUAAUUUGUAAUUGGUUUUAGUUAGAUAAUCUCUCUAUAUGCAUAAGUCAUCAGAUUGCCUUUUUUUGUUAUCAA